GGAGAGGUGCGAGAGCGGCCGAAUCGGGCUCCCUGCUAAGGAGUUGUGCCCCAAAAGGGUACCGGGGGUUCGAAUCCCCCCCUCUCCG
rnacentral:tRNA from 1 species